rnacentral:rRNA from 1 species
UACAGAGGUCUCAAGCGUUGUUCGGAUUCAUUGGGCGUAAAGGGUGUGUAGGUGGCGCCGUAAGUCGGGUGUGAAAUUUCGGAGCUUAACUCCGAAACUGCAUUCGAUACUGCGGUGCUUGAGGACUGGAGAGGAGGCUGGAAUUCAUGGUGUAGCAGUGAAAUGCGUAGAGAUCAUGAGGAAGACCAGUGGCGAAGGCGGGUCUCUGGACAGUUCCUGACGCUGAGGCGCGAAGGCCAGGGGAGCAAACGGG